AUGCACCUUGGAUCUCUCAUCCUCACGGCCUUCCUGGGGCAACUGCUGGGCACCAUGGGACAGAUCACUGUCACCCAGCAAGAAGGACAAGUCACAGUGAAGCAGGGAGACACCUUCCAGACAACCUGCACAUACCAGACUUCCAGCUUUUAUGCCUUGCUUUGGUACCAGCAGAGGAAAGGCCAAGGUCCCCAGCUGGUCUCCUAUCAGGCAACUGCUGGCCACAAGCCCAGUGGCCGUCUCACCACCGUGCUGAACACCACCGAGAAAUACAGCCUCCUGCAGCUGGAGGAAGUCGAGCUCUCUGACAGUGCCUUGUACCUCUGUGCAGUGCGUGACACCGAAACAGAUCUUGUCAUCGUUUCUACUGUCAACAACUACGACCCUGCCAGAAGUGUAUUGUACACGAACAAGUAUCAGCAGCUUCACGUCCUUAUUUCUUGGGGUGUAAAUCAAGGAGUUCAGCAAGGGAGUUAUGACAACAUCCUGCCUCACACUGCCCCCAGGAAACUGGCCAGUUUUGACUGUCUCCUUGCAGUCUGUGAGUACAUCAAAGACACCAUGGGCAUGCCAGGGGCCUUGUACUACCCCAGAAUGCCCUAG